UACGGAGGGUGCAAACGUUGCUCGGAAUCAUUGGGCGUAAAGCGCACGUAGGUGGCCUGUUAAGUCGGGUGUGAAAGCCCGGGGCUUAACCCCGGAAUUGCACCUCAAACUACAUGGCUAGAGCAUUGGAGAGGGUAGCAGAAUUCAUGGUGUAGCAGUGAAAUGCGUAGAUAUCAUGAGGAAUACCAGAGGCGAAGGCGGCUACCUGGACAAUUGCUGACGCUCAGGCACGAAAGCGUGGGGAGCAAAAGGG
rnacentral:rRNA from 1 species